rnacentral:rRNA from 1 species
UACGUAGGGGGCAAGCGUUGUCCGGAUUUACUGGGCGUAAAGAGCGUGUAGGCGGCCAAGCAGGUCCGUUGUGAAAACUGGAGGCUUAACCUCCAGACGUCGACGGAAACCGCGCGGCUAGAGUCCGGAAGAGGAGAGUGGAAUUCCUGGUGUAGCGGUGAAAUGCGCAGAUAUCAGGAAGAACACCAAUGGCGAAGGGCAGCUCUCUGGGACGGUACUGACGGUUCAGCACGAAAGCGUGGGGAGCAAAGCAGG